rnacentral:rRNA from 1 species
CCUACGGGUGGCAGCAGUGAGGAAUAUUGGUCAAUGGGCGAGAGCCUGAACCAGCCAAGUCGCGUGAAGGAUGACGGCCCUACGGGUUGUAAACUUCUUUUGUCAGGGAGCAAUUUGGUCCACGCGUGGGCUUCGCGAGAGUACCUGCAGAAAAAGCCUCGGCUAACUCCGGGCCAGCAGCCGCGGUAAUACGGAGGAUGCGAGCGUUAUCCGGAUUUAUUGGGUUUAAAGGGUGCGUAGGCGGAAUAUCAAGUCAGCGGGAAAAAUUCGGGGCGCAACCCCGUCGUGCCGUUGAAACUGAUGUACUGGAGGGGGCGAGAAGUAUGCGGAAUGUGUGGUGUAGCGGUGAAAUGCAUAG